rnacentral:lncRNA from 12 species
GUACUCUACUGUGUUAUUGAAAAAGCACCACUAUUGGGAAAAGCUCCGUUCAAAUAUCUAUCCAAGUUUCUUGAAUAGUUUGAAAUGUUUUCUAAGGGUACGUAAUCGUCCUAUUAAAGGAGAUUCUCCGGAGGAGCCCAAUCCUACCUUGAAAUGGAUAAAUGUGAUUUCCCCUGGUGGCAGAUCACAUGUAGAAGAACUAUGUGAUCAGAGUAAAGAGAAAUGACAGCAGUAGUCUUCAGUCUCGGAGAUGGAUAAAGGCUGGUUGCACUGGUCUACUUCUCAGAAGAAGACAGAUAAGAACAGACUCCAGGACUUCAUUACCAGACUUCAGUUCAGGUAUGGCAGAGAGAAAUCUCACACCCUACUCCCACCCCAUGCUGCUGUUUGGGGGUUUUGCUGUCAGAUCUCAAGUCCAUUAGUGUGUGGUCUGAUGCCCAGGACUGGGAUGAGGCAUACCUGGAGGGCUAAGCUUAAGGGGGCAGGCUCAGAGCAGACACCCCUCACCCCCAAACCUGCAGGGGCUUAAGAAUGUCAAGAAUAUGACCCAUGAGGUGAACUGCAAGAUUAAGCAGAGGAGCAUCAACAGCCAUCAUUCGAACCAAGUCAUUUAUAGUUCUCCUCUACAACACACCUGCUACUCCAGAUGAACUUCUGCUGCUCCGUGAAGUACCCUAAUUUGCAUGGACUUUCAGUGACCUAUCU